rnacentral:lncRNA from 1 species
GCGAGACUGGAGCAGAGCCGCUGGGCGCCGGAGCCGAGGCGAGCGCCGCGCGCACCACUGGUUGGAGUUGCUGUGGGUGAGCUGCUGUGGUCUGUAGCCAAGCAUGCUGUGGUCGGAUCUGCCCAGCCGUGGAACAGAAACAUUUGCUGGAUGGAAAAUCCAUAAAAGAAAGCUCCUGUGAAAAGCUGAGGCUGACAAUAAUUUAAGCAAAAUCAGAUCGAUCUCUUUGGGCUGCCUGACCUCCUUGGGUGCUUGCUAUUAAUUAACAGACUUUGUGGGGAAAAAAAGGAGCUUGCCUUCUGAGCUUUGUACCAAAGACCUGGGAAAAGUAAGUAAUUUUAAACUUGCUUUUAAAAAAUUCUGUUAUACCUCUCUCAGAAAGUUAACAAUAGAUCCAUGGCUUUUUACUUUCUUUCAUUCCUGGCUUAAUAAAUUUUAUAUGUUUUCAUGGAUUUGUAACAUGGAAGGAGACUCAGGAAACCUCUUUGUGUAAAAAAAAAAAACUUGCAAGAGAUUAAGAUGAUGUUCUACAUUGUGCCAUUUCUUUUGGGUUUCAUAAACUGAGUCCUCAAGGUUGUGACAAAACUUUUAUCAGAUUUGCAAGUGAUUAAACAUCAAAUACAAGGCAAUGUAAUAUGAUGUGACAGAAAAGUGAGUCCAGUUGUCUGAGCUUUCAGGUGUUUUAGACUUUUAGAUAUUUUGGAUAGGCUUUUUGGUUCUGAAUUUUUAGAAUAAGUAUGAAAUCGACUUGGUUCUUUUCUUGUCUGGAAAGGAAAGCAAAAUGUGGAAUUGCUUGUCCAAUAAAUUCUUCAUGUAGCUUUGUCUUGGAAGAAUUGAUGCACCUCCCAGUUUUAUUUUAGAAUUUUUUUGAGGGCACUAUAAGACAUUCUAAUUGAGACACUUGUUGAAUGUUUUUGCUGUCUUUUAGAAAAAAUUGCUUGGAACCAGAAAAUUCAGUUUUAUUCUCUUAUCUUUUUGAAAAAUGGACCUUACAGAUCUAUAAAGUCGAUCUGUUUUUUUAAUGGAUACUGCUUGGAAUUAUGAGUGACCAAAUGCCCGUAACAAUAUAUGCAAAAUAAAAUAUGCACGUGCACGCACAGAAACAUACACAAAUAUCCUCUCUAGCAUGUUCCAGAAACAUUAUCGACAAUAGGAAUUGUUCUUCCAUUAAAUUACUAGAUAGCUUUCUAAACUUCCUAUGCUUUGUGUCUUAUAGCUCCACUCUAUUUCUGGCAGUAUAAAUGAGUUAGUUGAAGCAUGUUUAAAAUAAAACAAGACAGAACAGAACUUUGCUUUAGUUCUAUGAAAGCAUUAAAUAGUAAGAUCGGAUUUUAUAGCUCUGUUGUUAUUGUAUUUACUAUAAAUUUAAUUAUUAUUAAAUUGGGUUUUAUUUUGUAAUAAUUAUAAUAAGGUAAGGGUCUUGAGUUUUGAAGCUUAUUUGAAGUUAAAUAUUUGUACUGAAAAAAUAAAUAUUUUGGGAGGCCGAGGUGGACGGAUCACCUGAGGUUGGGAAUUCGAGACCAGCCUGACCAACAUGGAGAAACCCCAUCUCUGCUAAAAAUACAAAAAAAUUAGCUGGGUAUGGUGGUGCAUGCCUGUAAUCCCAGCUACUCGGAAGCCUGAGGCAGGAGAAUUGCUUGAACCUGGGAGGCGGAGGUUGCAGUGAGCCAAGAUUGCGCCACUGCACUCCAGCCUGGGCAACAAGAGCGAAACUCCAUCCCAAAAAAAACACAAAAACCAUAUACGUGUGUGUGCAACACACAAACACACAUACACACAGACAUAGACACUGCACAUACACAUGUAAUUUCUGAGGGAUGUCAAGUCUCUGCUAAAAUAUGAAUUAGUUGAAAGUAAGGAAAAUCUCACCCAAAAUAUAUUUUUUUGUUACAGUGAAAUAUUUGUAAUAGUGAAAUAUUAUUGUCAGUGGAAUUUAAAAAAAAAAUAGAAAUUUGUAGGUUGAAUUUUAUUGUCUUGUAAUCACAUGUUAAUCUUAAAAGAAAUAUUUUAUGUUGUAAUUGUGUGUUGUAGUUGUUAUUCCAUUUUGGAAGGAUAUUUG